rnacentral:rRNA from 1 species
ACCCCCAAAUCAAGCCUAAGUAGUUACCGCAGACCCAACCAAACCAUCUCUACAACCUAACAAAACAUUCUCCCACUUUAGUAGAGGCGAUCAAAAAACUUCUAAGCGCUUUAUACUCAGUACCGCAAGGGAAUGAUGAAAUAGCUAUGAAAUAGC